rnacentral:rRNA from 1 species
UACGGAGGGUGCGAGCGUUAAUCGGAAUUACUGGGCGUAAAGGGUGCGUAGGUGGUUUGAUAAGUUAGCUGUGAAAUCCCCGGGCUUAACCUGGGCAGGUCAGCUAAGACUGUCAGACUCGAGUAUAGGAGAGGGUAGUGGAAUUUCCGGUGUAGCGGUGAAAUGCGUAGAGAUCGGAAGGAACACCAGUGGCGAAGGCGGCUACCUGGCCAGAUACUGACACUGAGGCACGAAAGCGUGGGGAGCAAACAGG